CUCCGUGAAGACACAAUCCUUGCCCUUGCCGUUGCUCUGCAGGUGGGGGGUGGGGAGGGGGCAGACGCGGCGUUACUGGGCUCUGGCCGGAGCUCCCCCCCAGCAGAGGCAGAGGGCAGGCGGCCCCAGACAGCAGAUGUAGAGGCCUGUCUCAGCUCCUCGGACUCGAACCCGGCUGCCAAAGGUUCUAACUCACAGCCUUCACGACCCCCUCACCCCACCCCUGCUCUGCUGAGAAGAUGACCGCUCUCCCUACACACACGGCCCAUACAUAGCCAGCUGCUCUCCCAGAACCUCAGACUCCAGCUGGGAGGAUUCUGCUCUUCUCCACGCUUCCCAGUCACCACUGUCCCGAGCCCCAGUGUCCAGAAAUCAAUGACUCAAAUAGUCUUUUCUCUUUCAACCUCCAUCACAGCUGGGCUUCUCACCCCAGUGACCAAACACUUACUGCGGGUGAGGAGGGGAGAAAAGCAGGCAUGCUUGCCUCUCCGUCUGGAAAGCCCUGAGACAGGGAGCUGAAUUCUGUGCCUUCUUCCCCUGCCCCCUCCCCUUAGACAGCCAACUUGCCACAGAAGUCCUGGUCCCUGUCCACUCUUUGUGUAACUCCUCCCUUUGAGGCUGUCCCCAAGAAGGGAAUGAGGGCUGACUUAGCUGCUGGGGAUAGUACAGAAGAGGCUGGGUCUCCUAUCCUCUCUACUGCGGAGCCCAGAAUUUUCCCUGCUUGAGAAGGCAGUUCUGGGACUCCCAGAGCUGCCUCCCAGCCUGCCCUAACAAGGCAGCACCUUUUUUGUCCUCAAAACUAAACGGACUAGAGGUCAGUGAGGCAGCCCUCAUUGCCCAGCCUGUGACUACCCCACCCCUUCGCAUAAGCACAGAGCGGGGACCCAGUGGCCAACUCCCCAGUCUGGCUCCAAGUCAGCCAGGGAAAUGCAGCUGUCACCUCCCCUCCCACCCACCUCCUCUUGGACCCAGCCGGUCUGCUCAUCCCUCUCCUGAUCUGCCUUCCAGAGCAAGGAGUGGCUGCUGUUAAGGGCCAGGAAGGACACUGGCUGGAGAAGGGGCAAGAGGACUCUGGCCAAAUGGGGCAGACAGGGAUGGAACAAUCCCUCGGUUCCUUCCUGGGACCCAUAAGGAAGCAACUAGGACCUCUCUGCUAUUCUCCCCCAGACUCAUACUGUACUGGCUAUACACCCUAAGCCUCUCUGCUCUUGGGCCCUCCAGUUCCCACCCCUGCCUGGCAGGCAGGGACCAGGGAACCUGGAAAUCUUCCUACAUUUGUAAGGACAGAAGUGGGCAUGAGACUUCUGAUGUCUGGAGAUGAGUUCACCCACGGCCAGCUUAGCCUCUUCUUCCGUCCCCCAAACCCAAGGAUGCUGGACCAUUUGCUCCAGUGGAGCAAACCCAGGAGGAGCUAAGCAUUCGUUCCCUUUCCUUGGAAGCUGAGAGGAGAAGCAAGCAGCCAGUUCGGAGGGACAGAGGGACAAAGGGACGGCAGGCUGGCCCUGCCAGCGCAGCGGGGGAGCUCGGCCACCGGGCAGGCCGCCCCCCACCCCCACCACGGAGAGCCCCCACUCCCCUUCCUGGACGGAUCUGGGGAGCUGGGGCUGCAAGUUUACAGCGGCUUUCCCGACCGGGCUUUUGGAAAGCUUAACAUUUUCAAACCUAU